GCUUUUUCUUUUUAGGGUUGCACCCGCAGCAUAUGGAAGUUCCCAAGAUAGGGGUCCAAUCGGAGCUACAGCCGCUGUCCUGCACCACAUCCACAGCAACGUGGGAUCUGAGCCGUGUCUGCAACCUACACCACAGCUCACAGCAAUGCCGGAUCCUUAACCUACUGAGUAAGGCCAGGGAUCGGACUGACAUCCUCACGGAUCCUAGUCAGGUUUGUUAACCACUGAGCUACGAAGGGAACUCCCUCUCCCUUUUUUUUUUUUUUUUUUUUUUUUUGAGAAGUCCAUUAACUUUUCCUUUAGAAAGUGGAAUGUGUCAUAUCUUAUUUUACAGAGGAAUAAAUGAGUUUACUAUCUUGUGACACCCUAAUCUGGUGACAUUUGGAAAUAGCAUUACUCUGUGGAUCCCACACUGUCUUUAGCAGUCUGAGGUACUUCCCCAGUCUUUGCGAUCUGGGGCAGCAAAGUAACACAAAGGCAAAUAUUUGGGAGCAAAAUAUAUUUUUUCCUAAGACUCACUCGAUUUUGGGGAGAUUUUCAAGAAACAUUAAAGCUAGCCCUUGGGUUCUGAAUUGCUUGAUUGGUCAAUUGAUCAGUUCAUUCACUCCAAAAAAAAAAAUAUUGAGCACCUGCUAUAUGCCACUCUCAGUGUUGGUGAUAUGUGUGUUGCUGUGUGGUUUUUGUCACUCUCUGUAGUGAAUUGGUGGGUGGUAAGCCUGUAGGUAGACCAGUUAAGAUGCUGUUAGGUGUGAUAUAGGUCAAGAAUGAUGGUUGCCUGGAUUUGGAUAGUAGCAGUGGGCUGAUGAGAAGAGAUUUUAUAGAGAGAUAUUUAGGAGGUAAAAAUACUAUGAUUUAGUGAUUGAUUGGAGAAAGGAAGGAAUCAAAAAUAAUUGCAGGUUUCUGGUUUAAUUAAAAGGGUGAAGAGUGUUGGUAUUCACUAAGAAGAGAAAUAGAGUGGGAAGAAUGGACUUUUUUGGAGAGUGGGACUAGAUAUUGAUUUCAACAACUUUUAUACUUUCAGUUGAAGGUGCCUUUCUGAGACAUCCAAGAGGAUGAACUAGACAAUGAAUUUGAAAAUUGUUUUAUUCCUUGUGGUAUCCUCCAUUUUUUUAGAUGGUGUUUACACUUCUAGGAAUGGAGGCCAGUUUAGGCUAGAUGUGUAGAUUUGGUAUUCUUCAGGGUGUAGUUGGUGUCAUUGAAAUUGAGGAAGCAGAUGACAUUGUGCAAGGAGAGGGCUUUUGGGGAGAAGCAACAUUCUGGGAAGUGUGUCUGCUGACAGAACUAAAGAGGGGGAAUUGGAGAAAUGUGAGGAAAGUCAGGAAUGUAUGUAUGGUUUAUGGAAGCCAAGGGAAGAGAAAGAAGGAAGCUAAAAGAGGGAGUUUUGAAUUCGGGUAAAUGGUCAAGUAAGAUCACUGGAUUUCACAACUAAAAAGCAUGGGUGACUUUCUGAGAACCUUUUUGGUAGGCUGGUGGUUGCAAGAGUUCAGUAAAUUUGGUUAAAGAGUAGUUGGGAGUGAGCGGAUGGAAUCUGCAUGUGCAAGUCAUGCUUUGAUGUAUUUUGGCUGGUGAUAGCAUAUGCAGGGAAUCAUGGACUAGCGGGGGACAUAUGGGCUUGAACAUGUUUAAAUGUUGAUAGGAACGACACAGUGGAGAUGCAGAGAUAGACACAGGAGAAGAGAAAAUGAGGAUGGGAGCAACCUGAGAUGGGAUGGGUUCAGAGCACAGGGAUACCCCUCAAACUGGAGCGAUGUUAUUAGUCAUCGAGAAGGAUCACUUUCUGCUGGGAUUAGCUUCCAGUCUAAGGGGUCUUCUCAGGGAAUUACGCUUCUGGGGCUUCCUGAAGGUUCAGAAUGGCAGAGGCAUUAAGAGACUCUUGGCAAAGUCGAUAUCAUUUCUGAAUUCCCCAGUGGUUCAUUUAAUGUCUGGGUAGCAGGCAUGUUUUAGAGUUGGACUCUGAACCUGUGGAUUAGGUUAGGGCUUGGUGUCCAAUUCUAGUCUAAAUAAGUAGAGUAGCACGUGCUCUGAACUUCUCUAAAGACUUAACCAGGUGUUGAAAUACAAUCUGGAGAGAUCACCUAUAGCCAGUCUACUUUAACCAGCAAAUAUGUCAUUUGCAUUAUGAUUCUCCAUUUUUACUAAUCUAUGUGAUGGAUUGUUGAUUGUAGCAAACUCUGGGUUCUUAUAAUAUUAAGCUUAAAAAACUAUAGAGUUCAAAUGUCGAAGAGUUAAUUAUAGGUCAUUUUCUUCUAUGGUUUGAUAGAGAGUGGGCUUUGGAGCCAGAAAAAAAGUGGAUUCAAAUACUAGCUCCAUCAUUGACUAAGCUUAUAUGGCCUUAGCAAGUCUUUUUACUCUAUAACAUCCUCAUGAUAAUAAUACUUGGUGAUGUUUAACUUGCAUGUGAUUAAUUAGAGGUCAUGCACAUAUACCAGCACAUUGUUGAUAUUAAAUAGUUGAUAUUAUUUCUAUUUAUUUAAAAAUAAUUUUUAUGCUAUUAUAGGACCCUUAGUGAGAACAGUCUGAAUUUGUUAGAAUUCUAAGUCAAAAUCAAGAAUCUUAUUUUUCCAUAGGUCUAAGAAAUUUAAAAAAAAAGGUUUUUUUUAAAUUUUAUUGGAAUUGAAUUGACUUGCAUUUUUUUUUUUUUUUUUUUUGCCUUUUCUAGGGCCAUUCACAUGGCAUAUGGAGGUUCCCAGGCUAGCGGUCCAAUCUGGAGCUGUAGCCACCAACCUAUGCCAGAGCCACAGCAACGUGGGAUCUGAGCCCUGUCUGUGACCUACACCACAGCUCAUGGCAACGCCGGAUCCUUAACCCACUGAGCAAGGCUAGGGAUCGAACCUGCCACCUCAUGGUUCCUAGUCGAAUUCGUUAACCACUGAGCCACAACAGGAACUCCCCUUGCAAAGUUGUAUUAGGUUCACGUGUACAGCAAAGUGAAUCAGUUAUACAUAUAAAUAUAUCUAUUAUUUUUUCCCGUAUAGGUUAUUAUAAACUAUUGAGCAGAUUUUCCUGUGCUAUACAGUAGGUUCUUGUUAAUCAUCUAUUUUAUGCAGUAGAGUAUAUGUUAUUCACACCCUCCCAAUUUCUCCCUCCCCCUAUGGCAACCAUAUGGUUUCCCCUGUGGUGACCAUAAGAUGGGUUUUGAAAUCUAUGAGUUUGUUUCUGUUUUAUAAAUAAAUACUUUAUUGUUUUGUCUUGUUUUCUUUUCUUUUUAGGGCUGAACCUGCACCACAUGGAGGUUCCCAGGCUAGAGACUGAAUCAGAGCUGUAGCCACCGGCCUACCCCACAGCAACGCCAGAUCCUUAACCCACUGGGCGAGGCCAGGGAUCGAACCCGCAACCUCAUGUUUCCCAGUUGGAUUCGUUUCCCCUGUGCCAUGAGGGAACGCCUAUAAAUAAGUUCUUUUGUACCAUUUUUUUAGAUCCCGCAUAUAAGUGAUAUAUAAUAUUUGUCUUUCUCUGACUUCGCUCAUCCUGGUCAUCUCUAGGUUCAUCCAUGCUGCUGCAGAUGGCAUCAAGAGAGAUUAAUGGUGAUGUCUUUGGUCUAAGUUUUGAUAGGGACAGAAGAUUCGAGAAGUCAGCCUGGCUCACUGAAAAGAUCUUUUAUCGGCCUGCAUGUCAUCAUAGUAAAUAGAGAGAAAGGAGUAAAAUUCUAGAAUAUGGAAGUAAAUGAAAUUUUUCUUGGAUCCCUAUUAUUUUCUAUUCCUGUAUCGCAGUUAUUUUUUAAAAAUAGAUUUAGCCUCUUCCACCCUCUUUUCCUGUUUAGUAACUCCCUUCCACACCCUCACCCCCGUCUUUUUUUUUUUUUUCCCUUCUUUUUCUUCAGAUUACUGGGAACUUUUUCAUGUUUCAGGAUUUUACUGUGUAUCAUUCAUGCCAGGAAAGCUUCCUGUGCAGGAGAGCUGCUGUGAGAUGUUGGCAUGAGCGAGCGAGAUGGAGAGAGGAGAGGAGAGGGUGAGUGGGAGGAAGGGAGGGAGGGAGGAGAGAGAAGGAGGAAGGCAGGGAGAGAAAUGGUGUCUGAGGUCCUUGCGCUUUUUUUUGUUCCUCCUUGAGAGAAGCUUCAGCUAUCUGUUUGGCUCUGGCUCCGUGGCGUUAUGGGCGUAGCUGAAGAAGGGGGCUGGAGAGGGGGAGAAGGCAAUUAAAACCUUGAACACUGUAAAGCCCUUCUAAUUAAAUGGCAAGGGUGGAAAAAUAAAAUUCCUUCUUAGGCCUUAUUUCUCUUCUCCCUUUAAAAGUCGGCUGAGGGAUGGCAGUUCGUGUCCCUUAGAAAAGAUAAAGUUCAAAAUAACUCUGGAAAGAAAAACAGUCUUUAGGAACUUUUCAGAUAAAGCCAUCUUUAUUGGACUUCCCCGGGCCCCUCACCUAUAUCCUCCUCCCACCCCAAGCACCCAAUUCUCUGGAGCAUUGAAGGAGACAGUUCGAGUGUCUAACUGCUCCGUUUCCUUUGUUCAUGCUGCUUUUGGUCCUUGCUGGGAAAUGCUCUGAAAACUGAACCGGCCACUGAACACAAAGGCCGACCGGUGGUGUCCCUCCCAGUAACACAGUGUGCGACUUGUUCCCACUCCUGUUCAUGACUCAUUAGUCCCUCAGUACAGAAAAGGUUGCUCCCCUGGAAUAAAAGGAAGGGGCUCAGCUCGGAGUCCUUUUCUGCCUUUUGCUGUGUUUUAUUUGGGUGCACUCAAAGCCCCCCACCUUCAUUAGUGACCUGGCAGGGGGCUGGCACAGUGCUGAGACUAGCUUUUGCUGGUUCCCUGGGGUGUAUCAGAGAUCUCAGAACUCAAUACCCUACUAUGAAAAUAAAAUACAGUGCUUCAAAUGACCUUUGGAUGGAACAAAGCCAUGCAUCGCAAUCUGCCUGGGCUUCUCAAAUUGCCAUCCUUGCCAAGAGCCUGUCUUGCGUUUUGCACAUGUCCCCUCCCCCCAUGUGAUAGCCUGUGUGUCAGGUAAAUGUGUGUGAAAAUGCAGGCUUUGGGCAGAGACCUCCUUUUGUAUUUAAAGCACAGCUCAGGAUAGUAGUUCUUUGUGAGAGCAGCAGGUAUCGGGCUUUUAUGCCCCAAGUGAUGAUCCUUUCAGAUUGAUAUUUAAAGUUUGGGAAAAUAUGUCAAAACUUGAAGAUGCUAUAGAAAACUGAGUAAUAUGUUUAUAAUUCAAGUUGUUUUUCCUGCUUUUUCCAGAGUGACCCAAUUCUUGCCUUAGUUAAAACCCAGGCAUCUGGAGAACUCUGCCUGACUCCAGAGCUACAUAUGUGUGUGUGUGAACUUUGGGGAAAAAGGGCAACACUAACGUGAACAGUGUCCAUCAGACCUUCCUUUAAAGCGCUUGGAGAACUUGGAGCAUUGUGCCUUGUUCAGCUUCUAGUAUUUUUAUGCUCUAAUUCUUGGAAACUGAUUACUUAAGGCAGUGUCAGAAAGUCAAAAUAGGGACUUGUUGUUAUCAAAUGACUAGUAGAAUCUUGGAAAACUCAACUUUCUUAUCCUUUGUUAUCUCAGAUCAACUGCAAUAGCAGAAUAAGAUUUGCAGUUCUAAUAAAUUGUUCUAAAUCCUGUAAAUCUCAAAGUACACUAUUAUUACAUUUAAAUAAUAACAUUCAGACUGUAUGAGAUAUUUAGGGCCUUUGUAGAGAGUAUUCAGUAAUUUAAGAAAAAUCUUUGAGAACUAUGUCUAGAUACUCAUGUUGCAACAGAACAAAGGGUGGGGGAAAAAAUGUAAUUGUAAUGUAUACAUGUAAGGAUAACCUGACCCCCUUGCUGUACAGUGGGAAAAUAAAAAUAAAAAUAAAAUAAAUAAAUAAAUAAA
rnacentral:lncRNA from 1 species